GAUGAACGCUGGCGGCGUGCCUAAUACAUGCAAGUCGAGCGAACGGACGAGAAGCUUGCUUCUCUGAUGUUAGCGGCGGACGGGUGAGUAACACGUGGAUAACCUACCUAUAAGACUGGGAUAACUUCGGGAAGCCGGAGCUAAUACCGGAUAAUAUUUUGAACCGCAUGGUUCAAAAGUGAAAGACGGUCUUGCUGUCACUUAUAGAUGGAUCCGCGCUGCAUUAGCUAGUUGGUAAGGUAACGGCUUACCAAGGCAACGAUGCAUAGCCGACCUGAGAGGGUGGUCGCCCACACUGGAACUGAGACACGGUCCAGACUCCUACGGGAGGCAGCAGUAGGGAAUCUUCCGCAAUGGGCGAAAGCCUGACGGAGCAACGCCGCGUGAGUGAUGAAGGUCUUCGGAUCGUAAAACUCUGUUAUUAGGGAAGAACAUAUGUGUAAGUAACUGUGCACAUCUUGACGGUACCUAAUCAGAAAGCCACGGCUAACUACGUG
rnacentral:rRNA from 1 species